CCAGACUCCUACGGGAGGCAGCAGUGGGGAAUAUUGCACAAUGGGCGGAAGCCUGAUGCAGCAACGCCGCGUGCGGGAUGACGGCCUUCGGGUUGUAAACCGCUUUCAGCAGGGGCGAAGCUUUUGUGACGGUACCUGCAGAAGAAGCACCGGCUAACUACGUGCCAGCAGCCGCGGUGAUACGUAGGGUGCGAGCGUUGUCCGGAUUUAUUGGGCGUAAAGAGCUCGUAGGUGGUUGAUUGCGUCGGAAGUGAAAACUUGGGGCUUAACCCUGAGCGUGCUUUCGAUACGGGUUGACUUGAGGAAGGUAGGGGAGAAUGGAAUUCCUGGUGGAGCGGUGGAAUGCGCAGAUAUCAGGAGGAACACCAGUGGCGAAGGCGGUUCUCUGGACCUUUCCUGACGCUGAGGAGCGAAAGCGUGGGGAGCGAACAGGCUUAGAUACCCUGGUAGUCCACGCUGUAAACGGUGGGUACUAGGUGUGGGGUCCAUUCCACGGAUUCCGUGCCGUAGCUAACGCUUUAAGUACCCCGCCUGGGGAGUACGGCCGCAAGGCUAAAACUCAAAGGAAUUGACGGGGGCCCGCACAAG
rnacentral:rRNA from 1 species